AAUAUGGGAAAGAUAAGAUUUGAUCAUUGACAUACAUUAGAGUUUUGACUCUGUUCCCAUGACAGGCAAAUUUCUUCUACAGGAUUGACCACAUAUUCCCAAGAGAUACACAAGUCUGGUUUUAUUUUGAAAGACAACUGACAGGCUGGCAAACAACUUCUUCUCAUAAAUGUGUCCCACAGAUUAUCAAGGUUUCUCCCUGUAAACAAAACCUGUGGAGGACAUGUCAGUGACCCCAAUAACAGAAUGUACUUCCUUUGGGGAUAGCUGCAAAGUCAGAUUAAAUGCUGAAGUCAGCAGAUUCCUUUUUUGUAUGAGUCCAUCCAUACUUUGACACCUUUCUGCAGAAUAUUACGUGAAGUCC
rnacentral:lncRNA from 1 species